AUGCAACGUGCUUCGAGCAUUCCCGCGGAGGCUGCCAUUCAAACUUUGGCAAGGGGUAUCUUGUUUGUCUCGCAGCGCUGGCAGGCAGUCAGCUGGUGAGGCCCUGUCAUGAUUGACCCCAAAGUGUUCCUCAGCCUGCUUGUCCUCCUGGCGCUAUUCAUCGCAGCAAGCGUCGCUGGAGCCGUCUGCUAUAUAUGCCGUGUUCUCAAAAAGGACUCCCGCAGAAGCCUUAAAGACGACCUGGUCAUCGUUUUGGACGGCACGGAGCCACCGCCACCCUACGACUGGACAAACCGCUGACCACGCAAACAUCUCAAUAAAUACUGUCUUUUAUG